UCUCAAUAGUUAAAACCGCUGCCAAUUCUCACCCAUGGCCAGGAAUUAGUCAGGAGAAAAAACUCCCAUCAGCCUCCAGCAGUUUCAACUUCCCGAGCUCUCAGAGCUAUCUUAAAAGUAAAGUCACCCCAAGAGAUUGAGCCAGCAAAGUGAGGAAAUGCCAGACUCUGCUGCCACAGGCUCUCCCGUGGAGGGAACAGAAGCCCUGCAAAUGCUGCCCGCAGCCCCCUGGCUACAGACACCCCGUGUUUUGCUGAAGGUGUUGACAGGAGCUUUACCAAACCAGGGGCAUCCUCAUGGUCUUUGUGUUUCAAUAGCAACCCGGUCACUAAGAAAGAGCAGGGAGACCUACAAAAGCCAGCUCAGGUUCCAGCCAGGGAAAACCUCUACUUACGUGCCAGGUUGGUCAGGAAAUAGCCAGAGUAGCCAAUGACAUAAAUGGUGCAAACUGCAACAGCGAGCUGCUCCAUCACUGUAGCACUGCUGUGCCAGUUUGCACACUCUGCUCCACCACAAGAACAAACAAGGCUCCUGUCAGUGUGCAGCUGCCCACUGACAAACGCCUCAAGCAGGAGGAUGCUCCUGCACUGAGCAAGCCCAAGAGCUGCUCUGACCCUGAGGCCUUCCGUGCACCAAGGCAACCUUGGGAUGUCACCACGACAAGGUGGCAUCCAUGCCCUGACAUCACAAAGCCAAUGCUCUGCGCUGCUCUGGGAAUUGAUGCAGAGCAACCCAACCUUCCCUACAGCAAACACAAAAUUGCCUGGGAGGUUCUCCUCUGUCACAAAGGGUCACAAAUCCUUUGGUGGGCUGUGGGAAAUGGAAAGACAGAAACUUCCACAGAUACUGAAGGAUUUGAUUGACAGCCUUGGAAGGAGCUUGGAUUCAUGCAAUGCUAAAGGUUCACAGACGCUGAGUCGAGAAUUCAUAAGCUUAUGUUCCUAUAGCUGCAAGUAAGAAUAUGCCAUAAGUAAAUAAAAAACUGCAUUGAGUGAGAUGGUGGAGAGAUUUCAACUGUAAUUGUGUGAUUUUAUAGAGUAAGCUAUGAAUCUAAAUAUUAUCCUAAGAAGCACAUGUGUGUAGGUGAGCUAGCAGUGUAUUGGGUGAAAAGCAGACACAGUGCAGCAGAACUUGGCAAAGGUGAAUGGUGAUUAAGUAAUAAUAAACCUCUUCAAUUUAGUGCAUUAGCCAAAAAUCUCAAAUCAGCGAAUCUCAGCCACUGCACCAGGCUGAAGCUGAGGAUCCCCAGCCAAGCUCAGAGGGAGGAGAACACAGCAUUUGUGGGAUCCUUUCCAGUCUGACUUGCUUUAGCUGGAGCCUGGGGGAGGAGAGAGCAGGAGAAGGGUUGGCUGAGUCCUCUCCCCUCUGCCUUGCCCUUCUCUGCUGGAUCCUCAGUUCAUCCCACACCCACCCCAGGACUCCAUCCCCAUCCUACUGGGGCUGACGGGAUUAAAGGAGAUAAAGAGGAGAUUAAAAAGAUAGAGAGGAGAGAAAAAGAGAAGUUUAAAUGCAAUUUAAAUAUGAAAGAAAUACCUAUGUUAGUGAGUGCUGAGAGUUCCAAGGGAGCUGAAGGGUUUGGGAAGGGCCAGGAGCCCGUGAAGGGCUCAGGAGCUGCUGCUGCCGGGAGGGAGGAAAUGCACCAAUGGCUCCCAGCAGAGUCUGUGCUUUGAGGCUCUUUCCCAAACAGCUGCAGGAGGGAAAGCAGCUGAGUUUGGAGGAAGAGUUUUCUGCUGAGGUUUCCUGUUUGGAGCUGUCCCAAGCUUGAGCUGCUCAAGGGAAACGCGGCUCUGCUUCCAGCAGGGCCCAACUGCCCGGGAGCACAACUUGGUUCCCUGGCCCUGAGCCAACGGGCAGCAGCAGCUUCUGUUCCCUCCUGGCUCUUGUGUCAUUUCCAGCAGCACAAGACACACCAAGAAAAGCUCCUCCAGAACAUGCCAUGAGAAACACAACCUGAUUUCAUGGCAUGAAGGAGCUCUGACAGUCCCACGGGCUCAGGUUUGUUUGUCAGUGAACAGAGCAGGGAAAAGCACAGACACAUUCCCUGCACAGGGAAUUCACAGGAGGAAAGUGCAGCGCUGGAGGAUGUGCUUGGAUACAACGUUCCCACGGCAGUUUUGGGGAUAAAAUCGUCAGCAGAGAGAAAAAGAAAAGUCCUACCAAGGGUAGGCUGGGGAGGGCUGGUGCUUCCCGGGAGGCUCCCGAAGCUCAACAGUGUGGAAGAGUGGCUGGCUAACAAAGGUCGUGUUCCCAUGCAGCAAUUAGCUGAGAAAGAAUUAAACAACAGUAGAGUGUAGUUGGUAUGAGAUGUUGCAAUGUCAGAAAGACCUUAGUGAUAACUGUGAACUGAGAACAGGACACUGUGAUCAGAAGAAUGUGGAUUCAGCACAGAUGAAUGACCACAAGAAGGUGGAACUAGGGAGUUUGGAGUUGCCAAUAAAGGAGACUUGCUGAUCAUUCAUAUUGAAUGCUGCUUGUCUCCCGCCGAACUCAUCAAAUGGCGCCCGAACAAAUGGGACCCUUGGGACCUUUGGGACCUUUGGGACAUUAAAAAGCGAAGGCCACGGGAGUCGGCGACAGGGGACGGGUCCUCCGCAGCAAGGACGGCGAAAAGCAACGGUGCCGCGCCCCAGGCGACCUCAGAGGAGAGUCCUGGCCGUAACGUGCUGCCAAACCUUGUAGGGCUGCAACAGCGCUGACGAGUAUGUGGAGAAUGUGAAGAAAGAUAACAGCAGCAGAGAGCAGCAGCA